UACCACCCACCCAAAAAUAAACAAAACAAACAGAAGUAACAGAACAGAAACUAAUUCUUCAGAAGCAAAUGCCCGGCUUGCUCUCCGUUACAGCCCGAAAAGGAAGCCAAAUUAGCCGAAAUCACGGGAAACUCCCGUCUUUAAUUUUUAAAUCGAUUAACGAGAGAGUGGAGUGUGUCGUCUGUUUAUAGACAACUUAAAAUACAUACUUCCCUAUGUAGGUUUUGUCCGAGAGGGAAGAUCAUACGGUCGAGGAGUCUGUGUGCCCAGAGAGGCGAGGUGGACCGACUUUGAGUUUUUGACAACACAGUGGGCUUGUUUUUGCAAAAAUGAUUGUCGAGCAAGAUGAAAGUCAAGAACUUGUUGCUGCAGCCCGAGUUUUGCAAUCGAGGGUUUGCAACUUAGUUCCUCUGCGGCAGCUGUGCAUAAGGACCGUCAUUCUGAACCUGCCAAAAUUCUCGGCAGUCCCUCAGUUGAUUAGAUGUCUUCCUCAAAGAGUGAAGUCGGACAUCCUGAUGAAUAUGCAGGAUAUGCGAUGGCUUUCUGUAAAUCACCGGACUACAUUCAGUAUUUCCCCGACGAAUUGAAAUAUUUGAUACCAGCCAACGACAAUUCCUCUUUUUUUGGAGUUAAAGAAAAGUGAAACAGUUGGCAGCAGCCCCCGAGUGGCCAAAGGUUGUGAUUCCCCAGGGUCUCCUGCAGCGUCUGAUCAACUCUACCCUGUCAAAAUUUGACUUUGUUCUCUGUGGUGGCGAAAAGUUUUUCGAACCCGGGGGAUUGGAUUUGCAGAUUUUGCAACUGCUCGCUGAAACCUCCAAGGGCAUUACGAGCAUCGUCGACCAUCGCAGAGAUUACUCGUCGCACAUUAUUCCACCCUCUAAAGGCAGCUGCAUCAUCGAGUACCUGGACCACCAAUUUGGAGCACCUCGAAUGCCUUACAAAUCGAGCCAACUUGUCCAAGCUCCUGUUGGCCCCAAAGUUGCACACCCUUCACCUGAAAAACGUCUUUAUCGCUCCAGAGGCCAUGAAGGACAGUUCAGAGCCACUUCUGCAGAAUCUUGUGCGCUUUUACUACAGUUUUAAAUUUUCUUCGCCACCUUUGGCCGAGGUCAUUGUUCCGCAUGUCACAUUCUUGAAGAACAUUGUUCUGAACUGUCCAAAGUUGGAAGUUGGAAAGCUCAAAAUGUUGCGUGAAAUUUGGUGCCUCCUCUCAUAAUGUGCUCAACAUCGUACUGCUGGAUGUCUCAUGCUAAUUCCGCUGCCAUAUCUCUGUUGGAAAU